rnacentral:rRNA from 1 species
GCCAGCCCGCUCAGAAACUUAAAGGAAUGACGGGGCCCGCACAAGCGGUGGAGUAUGUGGUUUAAUUCGAUGCAACGCGAAGAACCUUACCUGGUCUUGACAUCCCGGAGACCCUUAGGAAACUAGGGGGUGCUUCCAUCUGGAAGAAUCUGGAGACAGGUGCUGCAUGGCUGUCGUCAGCUCGUGUCGUGAGAUGUUGGGUUAAGUCCCGCAACGAGCGCAACCCUUGCCUUUAGUUGCCAGCAGUUCGGCUGGGCACUCUAAAGGGACUGCCGGUGUUAAACCGGAGGAAGGUGGGGAUGACGUCAAGUCCUCAUGGCCUUUAUGACCAGGGCUACACACGUACUACAAUGGCCGAUACAAAGGGCAGCGACACUGCGAGGUGAAGCCAAUCCCGUAAAAUCGGUCUCAGUCCGGAUUGGAGUCUGCAACUCGACUCCAUGAAGUUGGAAUCGCUAGUAAUCGUGGAUCAGCAUGCCACGGUGAAUACGUUCCCGGGCCUU